rnacentral:lncRNA from 9 species
GGGCCUGCCCCAGAGCGUGGGCUUUCAUGCUUAGAGGGGGAGGCGGCAUUGGGGCAGGUGUGCUGCUCCUAACUGGUGUCUGAAUUCCUCCAUCCAUCUCCAGAUUGAAGUAAGCCCCCCCCCCCCCCAUUUCAAAGCAGAGUGAAUUGAGUUAUAGUGUUUAUGUGCAGUUUCUUUUGAGCUGCUGUGCUUGUUCAAGUGAUUUCAGGGUGUGGUUGGCUUAGAUAUGUUUGUGCCACCACGAGCCUGCUGAAGACUUCCUGGCGUGCUGUGUUUACUGCUUUGCAGUCGAGUGGACUUGUCGUUGCUGGAGUCCUUUUGUGUAUUUCUCUGUGCAGCUGGAGCGUGUUACGCCUCUGCAUGAGUCUUUACACCUCCACGGAAGUUCAUUCAAAGUCGCAUUUCAUUUAUGUCUUACACCUGAUCGCUUUUUAAUUGAGGUCAAUUAAGCUAAUUUGCCUACGACACUAAUGAAACACUAAUGUGUUGGUUGGCAUUAGCCACACUGACCUACAGAAGAAAAACAGCUUUUUCAAUGUAUUUCUCUGCUUUCAUUGGCAUGUCCAAAUAUCAAGUCUUGGGGACUUUAUAUUUGGUUAUGGGCCUGGGUAUUUAGAACUGGAUGGGGAAUAAAGGAAGCAGUUGUAAAUACACUGAAGCAAAUGUCGUAGUUACAGGGCCGCUUUUCCAGAAUACUGCUGGAAAUUAUCUGCACUUCAAACCUGCAUCAGUGAGGCAGCCGUGUGCUCUUCUCUGGAGUUAGACCUGCGGAUUUAAGUCCUGGCUUCCUUCUUACUCACUGAGGAAUUCCAGGAUUCACUGGUAAUAUUGGUUCACGUGGUUACCCUGGCAGGCAGGGUUUAGCUGGACCCGAAGGUAAUGCAGGACCCAAGGGCGCCCGCGGUUUCAUUGGCUCUCCUGGAGAAGUAGGACAGCUGGGACCUGAAGGAGAAAGAGUAAGUCUGUUUCCUUCAAAUACUAUUUCUAAAGUGAUAUACUUAGGGGAGCAGGGCUCAUAGACCCAGAUGGCAGGCGGGUAAUCUUACUGAGAGAAAUGAGCUAGCUUUAAGAAAAUUCACCUAUCAGAAAUAUAACUAAGCUCCCUUGAAUUUUAUUGAAUUUCGUUUUAAGGAAGUAAGGUGAUACUUUAUGGUUAGCUAUUUUUAAUUUUUAAAAACACAAGUUGAAAUUAAUUAUGAAAAUUUUAUUUUGUAAUUGAUCUUUAAAUAUAAACUCUUGAAAGGUCUUAUGGUUUACAAUGCAAUGUAUAAUCAAUAAUUCAGCCUCUAUAUGUUUUUUUGUUUAAUAAUGGAAGAUAGCUGUUCAUAAAUGUAGGUACUCGUGAAUAAGGUAGAAUCUUUGCAAAUGGUUUGUUAUUCUUAUAAAAAUUGAUCAAGGUACAUACAGAGUUCCAGCGUGCGAACUUCAUUAUCUCUCGUUUUCAGUGCCCUGUGCAGUUCAGUGUUUUCUAAUUGCAUUUCUUUCUUUACACUGUCGAUACUAAUUCAAAACGAGUAGAAUCAAACACUGUUAGCAUGUUUCCAGGUUUGAAAGCAAACACUACUAGCAUGUAUUUUCAGAAUCUUACUCAGAAUUUAGCAUUUGACUCUUAUUAGGUAAGUGCUGUUCAGGCAAACGUUUUUUCAUUUCUGGAAACUGAUUUUUGGCAAAUGAAAGUAAAUCAGAUUACUCUUUGCUAGAUGUAUAUUUCAAAUGAAUAGUUUGAGUGAAUGAAAUGAUGUUUUCUUGUAAUUACUUAAUUUCCCCUGGAGAGAGGAAUAUUCAGAUUUUAAUGCUCUGUAAUGACAAUUAAAAUGUUGGGUCUUCGUGGUGAGAUGAGGUGAUGAGGCGAAGAUAUUCCCUCGAGGAGGGCACAGGACGUUCCUUUCACUUGCAAAAAAUAUCUCCAGUGCGAUCCCCCAACCGGCUGCUUAGCCGAAGCCGUGUCACACAGCAGACUUGGGGCGAUGCUGCCAGUCUGUCGUGUGAAGAAUGAGCUGCUGCUUAUUGACCGAAAGGAGUGUAUACGUUCGUGUUGUUAAUUACUCUGCCGCUUGUGAUACAAGCCUUUCCUGACCUUUGGGCACGAACUUAUUCCUGGUCAUGGGUGUGAGAAAUAAACCAGUUGUGUGUCCUUGUGAGAUGUCACCCUCUCGAAUUUAAGAAAUUCGAGGAAAAGCCCUUCCCGCAGGCCAGUAAUACACGGCACGUUUAUACGGCAAGUGCUUAAAUAAUCUUGUCCACACUGUUCUCAGGCUUCUUGCUGAGGUUUAUGGAAGUUACUGAAGUUUUUGAAAAGAAUUAUUUAUUUUAAAUGUUCGGCUAUAUUAUGUAAAGGUGCAUAAAAUCCUAAUGAAAUGAGUCCUAUUACCCAUCUUUGAACUCUUUUUUUCGUGGAGACAUUAGAUGAAUAUUGAUCCAGCAUUGUUGAGUGGAAAGUAAACGCUUACCUCAAUCAAUUAUACAUACUACUUAUCUGCAUACAAGAAUCCCAAGCUACAUGGUUCUGACAGCUUUCUAAGUCUCCGCGUCUUCUAAGUGAUGACACGUCUCAAGGGCUUUUAAUGAUUAAUAUGCUUUAGGCCGCAAGUGAGAGAAAAUCCCAAUUUACACUGGCUUAAAAAUGAGAACAUUUCUAAUAAAUGGAGAUAACGGCAAAUGCUUUGUCGAAUGUUACGUAUAUAGAUGGUGUAGGCACUUGCUUCAUGUGGAUUUAACUCCUUUCAUGGUCAAACAGCCAGCGGGAUAGGUCCUGUUACCAUUCUCACCACAGAGAGAAGGGCUUCCCUCAGACUGCGGUCAGGUAAAUAGAGCAGAGCCAGAAUUUGAACACAGAUGUUCUGGCUACAAAGACUGAGUACGGAAGUGCUGUGCCCUGUUGCUGCUCGUUUUGCCCAGAAAGGCGCAGGUAAGGUGUGGGCCCUGAGCACAGUGAUAGCAUCGCCCUUCCCUCUGCUUUGCCUUGAUUAAUGCUGCCUUUAUCCUAAGGCUGGUGUCCCAUACAACUGCAGACUGCCUGCGCAGGGCAGAAUGUGCUUUGUUUGUGUCCAGCCGGAGAGACAGGGCGCCAAGGAGGAGGUGGCUGUUCAGCAGAGAAUGUCAGACUUGCUGUUUGUCUGAUUCUGGCGACUUUGGUCGCCUCUGGACAAAUCCCUGUCACCACAGGAGUGGCAGGACCCCAUCUGAAAGUACAGAUGGUGUGGAAUCCUGAAUAAAAUCAGGAUUUUGUUAUGAAGAAAAAAGGGGCCACUUGAGUUCAGUUAAUAUCUUGAAGCUUUUCUGAGUAUCAUACCAGUUUAAAGAGUAGUUUGUUUCUCUCUUAUGCUUUAGAAACUAAUGUUUGAGAAAAAAAUCCAAUUCAGUCAUUGAUUCAACAAAUAUUUACUUUUUGAAUUAUAGUUGAGUUACAAUAUUGUGUUCGUUUUAGGUACACAGCAUUUUGAUUCAGUAGUUUUAUAGAUUACUUUGCAUUAAAAGUUAUUACAAAAUAACGGCUGUGAUUCCCUCUGCUGUGGAGCGUAUGUCCAUGCCGCUUGUCUGCGUGAAACACAGUAAUGUGUCUCUUUUAAUCCCUUACCCCAUUCGCGCCCUCCAUCCUCCCCUCUCUGUUGAACCACUAGCUUGUUAACUAUAUCUGUGAGGCUGUUUGUUUUGCUGUAUGCAUUGCUGUAUGUCUAUCUGAUUUCAUUUAUAAGUGAAAUAUACAGUAUUUGUCUGAUUUCACUAAGCAUAAUGUUCUCUAGAUCUGUCCACGCUGUUGCAGAUGGCAGAAUUUCAUUAUUUUAUGGUUGUGUAAUAUUCCAUUGUGUGUGUAUGCAUAUGCAUAUAUAGAUAUAGAUACAUAUAGAUGUAUUUGGUUGGCUGUGCCCACAGCAUGCAGAGGUUCUGGGGCCAGGGGUUGAACCAGAGCCGCAGCAGUGACAACACUGUAUAGCUACGCUGUGGGCCACCUGGAAAGUCUGACAGGGGUGUAUUGAUCCAGUCUUCUUUUGAUGGGCACUCAGGUUGCUUCCAUGUCCGGGCUGCUCUGAGCACUGGCGUGCAUGUGUGUUUGAAUUAGUGUUUUGUUUUGUUUUUUCCCCAGAUAAUAUCCCCAGGAGUGGAAUUAUUGAAUCAUAUGGUCAUUCUAUUUUUAGUUAUUUGAGGAACAUCCAUACUAUUUUCCAUAGUGGUUCCACCAGUUUUCAUCCCCACCAACGGUGUAGGAGGGCUCCCUUUUCUCUGCAUCCUCACCAACAUUUGCUAUUUAUGUCCUUUUUGAUGAUAGCCAUUCUGACAGGUAUAAGGUGAUAUCUCAUUGUGAUUUUGAUUUGCAUAUCUCUAAUAAUUAGCAAUGUUGAGCAUCUUUUCAUGUGCCUGUUAGCCAAUUGUAUGUCGUCUUUGGAUGCUGGGAAAACUGGACAGAUGCAUGUGAAAAAAUGAGAUGAGAACAUUUCCUUAUGCCACAUACAAAAGUCAACUCUAAAUGGAGUAAAGGCCUCAAUGUAAGACCUGAAUCCAUAAAAUUCCUAGAAGGGAACAUAAGCAGAACACUCUCUGUUUAUAAAUCACAGCAAUAUUUUUUUGAUCUGUCUCCUAAGGCAGAAAUAAAAGCAAAAAUAAACAAAUGGGAUGUAGUUAAAACUUAAAAGCUUUUGCACAGCAAAGGAAACCAUCAGUAAAAUGGAUGACAGUCCACUGAAUGGUAGGCAAUAUUUGCAAAUGAUAUACCUGAAAAGGAGUCAAUAUCCAAACUAUAUAAACACCUUAUAUAGUUCAACAUCAAAAAGCUAAACAGCCUAAUGAAAAAAUGGGAACAAAUAUUUACUUUUGACUUUUUUACAUUCUAGGGUGUCCCUGGGAUCCGUGGAAAGAGGGGCAUUAAGGGAAGACAGGUAAUUUGAUUUCGUCUCUUGAGGUUUGGCGUAGAGCGCAGUGACCUAAUCAUAUGCGUGUUUCUGACGUAUUGAACUGUGAAUGUAGUUGAUUUUCUUUUCUACAAUCCAUCUCAUUCAACAGAGUUUAAAUUUUGCCAUUUUAACAGCCUAUCCAGUAAUACCUGAGAAUGUAAAGGAGACUUUAAAAAAAACCCUCAAAAUUUGCACUUCUAAACCACUUAAUAUACUAGUGGGAGAGAGAGCUUUAUCCCCAAGACAAGGCACUAAAAUUAAAAUGUCACAGAAAAUGCAUGAGCCAUUUAAAAGACUAAUGAUGGCAGUCUCCGCCUUCAUGUUUGUAAAGUCCCUGCUUCACAAGUUAGCUCAGGAAAUAUUUUCCUAUAUCUUCAGUUUAGAACAAAAUCAAGUAAAGUGACUUUUGUCGGAUAAUAUAGCAAUUUCAGAGGUCGGAGGAUGUUGUUACAUCGUCCAGUACCCCAUCAUUUAGCAAAUGGGGAGGACCCUGCAGCUCCGAAAAUCAUCGGGGGUUAUCCUGCUGCGUUAAUGUAGCUCCUUGGCCACCUGCUUUCCGCUGGUGCUGCUGUAAUGAUUGAAAGGUAUUUAUUAGGGUAAGACAUUCUGUGGUGCACUCGCUCUGUGAGGAGGAAAAUUGCUUUUCAUAACAGCUUUUCUAAAAUUUUGGUGUGUGUGUAAUUAAAAGCUUGGCGGUGAUAUUAAAGGAUUGUAAAUCUCCACAGGAUAUUCAUAUUCCUUUAAAGCAUUUUACUCUUCGAGCUUUGCAGCAUCUCUUGAAGGCAGGCUAGGUCUUAACGCCACCACACGUGGGUGAGGAGAAAGGCCCCGGGUGUUGGAAGAGUGGAUCAGCAUCACGUCGAGAAAGCCAUGAAAUCAAGGACUGAGCCCCACUCCGCAGACCUCAGGACUCUUUUCCUCAGCACUUAGAUCUUCCUGCUCUCUGUCUUCGCCUUCUCGGUGCUCAGAAGGACGUGAAUUGUUUUUCAUGACAUAUGGCCAAGUGUGAUAAUUAUUUUAAAGUUUCGCUUUAUAGAUUUUAACAUACUAAGGUAAACUUACCAAGCGAUCAAGAACUUAAAAGUAAGCUGUUUUGUUUUCUUGAAAUUACAUUCAACUUUAAAGUUAAUCUUGGGAGUUCCUGUUGUGGCUUGGUGGGUUAAGAACCUGACUAGUAUCCAUGAGGAUGCAGGUUCGAUCCCUGGCCUCGCUCAGUGGGUUAAGGGUCCAGCGUCACUGUGGGCUGUGGUGUGGGUAGCAGACAUGGCUUGGAUCCUGCGUUGCUGUGACUGUGGCAUAGGCUGGCAGCUGCAGCUCUGAUUUGACCCCUAGCCUGGGAACUUCCAUAUGCUGUGGGUGUGACCCAGAAAAGCAAAAAAAAAAAAAAAAAAAAAA